ensembl:lncRNA
CAUCUCCCUCUCUCUCUUGCUCUCCCUCUUUCCCUCCUUCUCUCUCUCUUGCUCUCCCUCUCUCCCUCCCUCUCUCUCUUGUUCUCGCUCUCUCCCUUCCUCUCUAACUUUCUCUCCCUCUCUCUCUCUCUCUCUCUCUCUCCAUCUCUCUCUUGUUCUCUCUCUCUCUCUCUCUCUUGCUUUUUCUCUUUUCCACUUCAUCAUCCCUCUCUUCUUCUGUGCUCUCACACCUUUCUCUCCCUCCUUCCCUUUACCCCUCUUGCUUGGUUAUGGAAGAAAACCACCUGACACCCUGGAAAACACACACACACACACACACACACGGACACACACGGACACAGUUCUCCCUGCGGUCCUUAAGUAACACAUGGUACAGCGACCGUAUAGUUCAUCUUGUGUAUGGGUUCAACCUGUCAAUCAUUCAGUCAGUCGAUCAAUACCUUGCUCCAGAUGUGACAGUCGGUGUUGUGUUACUAGCAUGACAGAGAAUGGGUUACCGGGGAGACCAUGACAGAGACUGGGUUACCGGGGAGACCAUGACAGAGAAUGGGUUACUGGGAGACCAUGACAGAGAAUGGGUUACCGGGGAGACCAUGACAGAGAAUGGGUUACUGGGAGACCAUGACAGAGAAUGGGUUACUGGGAGACCAUGACAGAGACUGGGUUACUGGGAGACCAUGACAGAGAAUGGGUUACCGGGGAGACCAUGACAGAGACUGGGUUACUGGGAGACCAUUUCAAUGAUACCAAGAAGCCGCAUGCCUUUUAUAAUCAUCCACACCAGCACCUUUCAGACUGAGAGGAAGAAACCAUCUGUAAUGCUUGUAGUAGAUGGGCAAGCAGAUAUUACCAUUCCCUGUCUCCCAUUCAGCUUUAACACCCUAGAGCUCAGAUUGUACACGAAAACCACCUCAUCAGACUGGACCUUCAAAACCAGGUUAAGGCAGUGGCCAUAACCUUGUUUUUUUUUUUGUUUAUUUGUUUUUGUAUGAGAAUAUGAAAAAAACUGAAAACAUACGCUGUCAGGGCAACUCGUACACCCAGGGGCGCUUUUUUCUUAUCAUCUUGUCUGGUUGUGUUGCACCGUUGUGUCUCUGAUAUGCGUGUCCGCUCUCUGUCUGUUUGUCCGUGUGUUCAGCUGUAUGUUUUUGUAAAGAAUACAUUUCUUUUUUUUUUUUUUUUAAUAAACCGGAACAUUCCAACAUUAAAAACAAA